CGUGUUCUGUCUCCUGAACAGGAAACUGAAAUCAUCAACAUGGUCCUAGAAAAUAACGCCAUAACAUUACGGCAAAUACAAAGAAAAAUAAUAGAAAACAAUGAGAUAUUUCAAAAUAUUGAUAGGGUAAACUUUUCAACACUGGACCGUGUCUUGCGCAGAAAUAAUCUCAGGAUGAAGCAGGUCUACAAUGUGCCAUUUCAACGCAAUUCAGAAAGAGUCAAAGAAUUGCGAUAUAACUAUGUGCAAAGAGUCCUUGAGCUAGAGGUGGCUGCAGUGGAGCACCAGUUCAUCUUCAUUGAUGAGGUUGGAUUCAACCUCACAAAAAGACGAAAGAGAGGAAGGAAUAUCAUCGGCCAGCGUUUCCAUUGUUCAAGUCCCUGGCCAGCAAGGAGGGAACAUCACAAUGUGUGCAGCGAUUACCCACCACGGCGUCAUCCAUCACCAUGCUAUCCUUGGCCCCUACAACACCGCCCAUCUGAUCACAUUCCUGGACACCCUACACAACACACUCAUUCCACCAGAUCAGGUAGAUGGCCCAGAGCAGCUCAGGUACGUUGUCAUUUGGGACAAGGUAAGUUUCCACAGGGCUGCUCUGGUUCGUAACUGGUUCACUGCCCAGCUACGCUCUUUAGUUGUUUAUCUCCCUCCAUAUUCUCCAUUCCUACAUCCUAUUGAGGCAUUGUUUUUUCUGCCUGGAGAUGGAAAGUGUAUGACCGAAAUCCACAAACGCGUAUACCUCUUCUCCAAGCUAUGAAAGACGCAUGUGAAGAUGUAGCAGCUGAUGCUUUUCAUGGCUGGAAUCGCCAUGCUAGGCCAUAUUUCCCCCGCUGCUUGGCCAGGGAAAACGUCGCUUGUGAUGUGGAUGAGGUGCUGUGGCCAGACCGCAACAGAAUAGAGGAUGCAGCAUAGUUUUCUGUGUACAUUAAAUUCUUCUGUUUUGUAUGUAGACCACUGUAUGUGCAACUUUGUGUUGGUUGGGAAUGGGAUGUACACUGUGUACAUUGUUUUUCUGGGGAAAAUGAAAUAUAUUUGUUACCGUGUAUUUGUGUGUUCUGAGUAUAAAAACAAUAUUCUCAAAUAUUUUACAACACACUUAUGUAAUGUACUGUCUGUAGUGAUGGCAACACUGAACCAAAAAAUGGCCUAAGUCAUUAUGAUGAAUGGAGAAGAAGUGUUUUCCAUUCAUCAUAGUGUUUUACAUUGAGCACAUCAGUGUUCAAUUGGUUCUUAUGUCUAUUCAUAUGAUGGUUUGUGUGUGUCAUUUGAAAACAAAAUACCAUUUUGAUAAGAAAUAACAUUGUUUUGAAUGUAAAGUUUCAUUUUGCUGGAGAAUUGAGGGGUUUUGCCCAUUGUGUGUGUGUUUUUUGAUUUGUGUGUAGAGUUCUGAGAAUAUGAGGCAUGCUUUCAGAAAAUGUGUGUAAACAAUCGAGAAAAACAUUAAACCAUUUUGGUACAGUGACUCACUACCCAAACCAGACCAACUGGUUUCCAAGUGGCCAAGAGACGUCAUGUGAUCUCUUACUGCCAUCUAGGGGACAAACUGGCUAUCAGACAGGGGAUAUAUACAUUUAAAUCAAUGGAUAGACUUCAGCUUGGCAAGUUGAAAAACAGCUGCGCUUUUACAAUGGCUGUGUUCAAAUGGGUAUUUGUAAAUGUGUAGAGGGCCACCAUUAGGUAAAAUAUCUAAUAAAAAAAAGUGUUAUCUUUUAGACCAGUAAUUGGUGACGUAUUUUAUUUGAAAUUUAGACAUUUUAAGUCUCUUAUUCACUAACAUGGGGACAAUUGGGGGA